rnacentral:rRNA from 1 species
CAAGCGGUGGAGCAUGUGGUUUAAUUCGAAGCAACGCGAAGAACCUUACCAAAUCUUGACAUCCUUUGACCGCUCUAGAGAUAGAGUUUUCCCCUUCGGGGGACAAAGUGACAGGUGGUGCAUGGUUGUCGUCAGCUCGUGUCGUGAGAUGUUGGGUUAAGUCCCGCAACGAGCGCAACCCUUAAGCUUAGUUGCCAUCAUUAAGUUGGGCACUCUAAGUUGACUGCCGGUGACAAACCGGAGGAAGGUGGGGAUGACGUCAAAUCAUCAUGCCCCUUAUGAUUUGGGCUACACACGUGCUACAAUGGACAAUACAAAGGGCAGCUAAACCGCGAGGUCAAGCAAAUCCCAUAAAGUUGUUCUCAGUUCGGAUUGUAGUCUGCAACUCGACUACAUGAAGCUGGAAUCGCUAGUAAUCGUAGAUCAGCAUGCUACGGUGAAUACGUUCCCGGGUCUUGUACACACCGCCCGUCACACCACG